rnacentral:lncRNA from 1 species
UAAAUUUCUAAACCAAUCUUAAUCAAAUUUUAAAUCAAAUCCUAAUGAAACCUUAAUAAAAUCCUAUUCAAAUCCUAAAUCCUAGAAUGACUUUAAUCAAAAUUUAACAAAAUCCUACACUCUAAUCAAAUUAUAAAUCCUAACUCUUCAUCCAAUCCUAAACCAAAACUUAACCAAAUCCUAAAUCCUAAAUCAAUCCUAAUCAAUCUUUAA